rnacentral:rRNA from 1 species
GACGAACGCUGGCGGCGUGCUUAACACAUGCAAGUCGAACGGGCCUUGUCCCCUUUUUUUUUGGGGGGGGGGUUAGUGGCGAACGGGGGGGUAAAACGGGAGUAACCUGCCCCUCACUCCUGGAUAACCGCUGGAAAGGUGGGCUAAUACGGGGUGUUCUGGCCUGCUCGCAUGGGUGGGUUUGGAAAGAUUCGACCGGUUUUGGUGGUUUUGGUGGGGGAUGGGCUCGCGGCCUAUCAGCUUGUUGGUGGGGUGAUGGCCUGCCAAGGCUUUGACGGGUAGCCGGCCUGAGAGGGUGGGCGGUCACACUGGGACUGAGACACGGCCCAGACUCCUACGGGAGGCAGCAGUGGGGAAUAUUGCACAAUGGGCGCAAGCCUGAUGCAGCGACGCCGCGUGAGGGAUGGAGGCCUUCGGGUUGUGAACCUCUUUCGCCAGUGAAGAAGGUCCUGCUCUUUGUGGUGGGGUUGACGGUAGCUGGGUUAAUGAAGCGCCGGCUAACUACGUG